CCUACGGGAGUCUGCAGUGAGGAAUAUUGGUCAAUGGGCGCGAGCCUGAACCAGCCAAGUCGCGUGAGGGAAGACGGUCCUAUGGAUUGUAAACCUCUUUUGUCGGGGAGCAAAAGACGCCACGCGUGUCGUUCCGAGAGUACCCGAAGAAAUAGCAUCGGCUAACUCCGUGCCGGCAGCCGCGGUAAUACGGAGGAUGCGUGUGUUCUGCGGAUUUAUUGUGGUUAGAGGGUGCCAAGGCGGAAGAGCACGACAGCGGUAAAAUUGAGAGGCUCAACCUCUUCGAGCCGUUGAAACUGGUGUUCUUGAGUGAGUGAGAGGUAUGCGGAAUGCGAGGUGUAGCGGUGAAAUGCAUAGAUAUCACGCAGAACUCCGAUUGCGAAGGCAGCAUACCGGCGCUCAACUGACGCUCAUGCACGAAAGUGUGGGUAUCGAACAGGAUUAGAUACCCGGGUAGUC
rnacentral:rRNA from 1 species